rfam:Picea glauca, whole genome shotgun sequence.
AUGUACAUUCCUAUGACAUAGGCUUAAUGCAUUGGAUCCCAUUAGAAAUCCACAGUUAAGCAUGCUCAAGUUAGAGUAGUAUUGGGAUGAGUGACCACCAAGGAAGUCCUAGUGUUUUACAUG